UACCCCAAGAGGGCUGCCUUUGGUCUCAC
rnacentral:piRNA from 2 species